GGAUGAGCCCGCGGCCUAUCAGCUUGUUGGUGGGGUAAUGGCCUACCAAGGCGGCGACGGGUAGCCGGCCUGAGAGGGUGUACGGCCACAUUGGGACUGAGAUACGGCCCAGACUCCUACGGGAGGCAGCAGUGGGGAAUAUUGCACAAUGGGCGCAAGCCUGAUGCAGCGACGCCGCGUGGGGGAUGAAGGCCUUCGGGUUGUAAACUCCUUUCGCUAGGGACGAAGCUUUGUUGUGACGGUACCUAGAUAAGAAGCACCGGCUAACUACGUGCCAGCAGCCGCGGUAAUACGUAGGGUGCGAGCGUUGUCCGGAAUUACUGGGCGUAAAGGGCUCGUAGGUGGUUUGUCGCGUCGUCUGUGAAAUUCUGGGGCUUAACUCCGGGCGUGCAGGCGAUACGGGCAUAACUUGAGUGCUGUAGGGGUAACUGGAAUUCCUGGUGUAGCGGUGAAAUGCGCA
rnacentral:rRNA from 1 species